rnacentral:tRNA from 1 species
AGUUAAUGAGCUUGAAUAAGCGUAUGUUUUGAAAACAUAAUAUAGAAAUUUUUAAUUUUCUAUUGACUU